GACGAACGCUGGCGGCGUGCUUAACACAUGCAAGUCGAACGGAAAGGCCCUGCUUUUGUGGGGUGCUCGAGUAGCGAACGGGUGAGUAACACGUGAGUAACCUGCCCUUGACUUUGGGAUAACUUCAGGAAACUGGGGCUAAUACCGGAUAGGAGCUCCUGCUGCAUGGUGGGGGUUGGAAAGUUUCGGCGGUUGGGGAUGGACUCGCGGCUUAUCAGCUUGUUGGUGGGGUAGUGGCUUACCAAGGCUUUGACGGGUAGCCGGCCUGAGAGGGUGACCGGCCACAUUGGGACUGAGAUACGGACCAGAAUCCUACGGGAGGCAGCAGUGGGGAAUAUUGCACAAUGGGCGGAAGCCUGAUGCAGCAACGCCGCGUGCGGGAUGACGGCCUUCGGGUUGUAAACCGCUUUCGCCUGUGACGAAGCGUGAGUGACGGUAAUGGGUAAAGAAGCACCGGCUAACUACGUG
rnacentral:rRNA from 1 species